UAAGAGACUGCCGGGGUCAACUCGGAGGAAGGUGGGGACGACGUCAAGUCAUCAUGCCCCUUAUGUCCAGGGCUUCACACAUGCUACAAUGGCCAGUACAGAGGGCUGCGAGACCGUGAGGUGGAGCGAAUCCCUUAAAGCUGGUCUCAGUUCGGAUCGGGGUCUGCAACUCGACCCCGUGAAGUCGGAGUCGCUAGUAAUCGCAGAUCAGCAACGCUGCGGUGAAUACGUUCCCGGGCCUU
rnacentral:rRNA from 2 species